rnacentral:rRNA from 1 species
UACGGGGGGGGCAAGCGGUUGUUCGGAAUUACUGGGCGUAAAGGGCUUGUAGGUGGCCAACUAAGUCAGACGUGAAAUCCCUCGGCUUAACCGGGGAACUGCGUCUGAUACUGGAUGGCUAGAGUGUGGGAGAGGGAUGCGGAAUUCCAGGUGUAGCGGUGAAAUGCGUAGAUAUCUGGAGGAACACCGGUGGCGAAGGCGGCAUCCUGGACCACGACUGACACUGAAAAGCGAAAGCCAGGGGAGCAAACGGG